rnacentral:rRNA from 1 species
GACGAACGCUGGCGGCGUGCUUAACACAUGCAAGUCGAACGGAAAGGCCCUGCUUGCAGGCUACUCGCGUGGCGAACGGGUGGGUAACACGCGGGUGAUCUGCCCUGCACUUCGGGAUAAGCCUGUUCAACUGGGUCUAACACCGGACAGGAGCCAUAUUUAGUGUGAUGGUUGGAAAGUUUUUUCGGUGUAGGAUGAGCUCGCGGCCUAUCCGCGUGUUGGGGGGGUAAUGGCCUACCAAGGCGGCGGCGGGAAGCCGGCCUGAGGGGGUGGACGGCCAUCUUGGGACCGAGGUACGGCACCGGCACCUACGGGAGGCAGCAGGGGGGAAUCUUGCACGAUGGGCGCCAGGCUGAUGCAGCGACGCCGCGUGGGGGAUGACGGCCUUCGGGUUGUAGACUCCUUUCGUUAGGGACGAAGCAUUUUGUGACGGUACCUAGAUAAGAAGCACCGGCUAACUACGUG